rnacentral:rRNA from 1 species
AGUGAACGCUGGCGGCGUGCCUAAUACAUGCAAGUCGAACGGAGUGGCGCACGGGUGAGUAAUAUAUAGCUAAUCUGCCCCUUGCUGGAGGACAACAGUUAGAAAUGACUCCUAAUACUCCAUAGCAAGGGAUGAGCCUAUAUCGUAUCAGCUAGUCGGUGGGGUAACGGCCUACCGAGGCUAUGACGCGUAACUGGUCUGAGAGGAUGAUCAGUCAGAUUGUAACUGAGACACGGUCAAGACUCAUACGGGAGGCAGCAGUAGGGAAUAUUGCGCAAUGGGGGAAAGCCAGACGGAGCAACGGCGCGUGGAGGAUGACACUUUUCGGAGAGUAAACUCCUUUUGUUAGGGAAGCGGUACCUAACGAAUAAGCACCGGCUAACUCCGUGCCAGCCGCCGCGGUAAUUC